rnacentral:rRNA from 1 species
UACGAAGGGGGCUAGCGUUGUUCGGAAUUACUGGGCGUAAAGCGCGUGUAGGCGGUUGUUCAAGUCGGGUGUGAAAGCCUUGAGCUCAACUCAAGAAAUGCACUCGAUACUGGAUGACUUGAGGACCGGAGAGGAUAGUGGAAUUCCCAGUGUAGUGGUGAAAUACGUAGAGAUUGGGAAGAACACCAGUGGCGAAGGCGGCUAUCUGGACGGUUCCUGACGCUAAGACGCGAAAGCGUGGGGAGCAAACAGG